CUGCUCCACUAAUGGGUCAUUCUCUUGUCUCUCUCUCUUCUCAGGCCUCCCUGUUCCCUGCAGCAUAGCAAUAUUAAAAUUAGGCCAAUGAAAAAACCUACAAUGACCUCUAAGUGGUUCAAGUCAAAGAAAGAGGUGCAUGCCUCUUUUCCUUUAAAUCAAAUCAAAAGCAGAACAGGAUUGAGCUUAGUGAGGAAGGCAUAUUGAAAGCCAAGAUGGGCCAAAAGCUAGGUUGCUUGUGCCAAAGAAUUAGCCAAGUUGUGAAUGCAAAGGAGAAAAGUUCUUGAAGGAAAUUAAAAGUGCUACUCCAGUGAACACAUGAAUGAUAAGAAAGCAAAACAGACUUCUUGAUGAUAUGAAGAAAAUUUGAGUGGGCUCGAUAGAAGAUCAAAGCAGCCACAACAUUCCCUUAAGCCAAAGCAUAAUCCAUAGCAGGACCCUAACUCUCUUCAAUUGCAAUGAAUGCUGAGAGAGGUGAGAAAGUUGCAGAAGAAAAGUUUGAAGCUAGCAGAGGUUGCUUCAUGAGGUUUUAAAAAGAAAGCUGUCUCUACAAUGUAAAAGUGGAAGGUGAAGCAGCAAGUGCUGAUGUAGAAGAUGCAGCAAGUUAUCCAGAAGACCUAGCUAACAUACUUGAUGAUGGUGGUUACACUAAACAAUAAAUUUUAAAUGGAGAUGAAACGUGUUAUGUUAGAAGAUACUAUUGAGAACUCUCAUAGCUAGACAAGAGAAGUCAAUGCCUAGCUUCACAGCUUCAAAGGACAGGCUGGCUCUCUUUGUUAGGGGUUAAUGCAGCUGGUGACUUUAAGUUGAAGCCAGUGCUCAUUUACCAUUCCAAAAAUCCUAGGGCCCUUCCAAAUUAUGUUAAAUCUAAUCUGCCUGUGUUCCAUAAAUUCAACAACAAAGCCUGGAUGACAGCAUAUCUGUUCGUAGCAUGGUUUACAGAAUGUUGAAGCCCUCUGUUGAGUCCUACUGCUCAGAGAAGCAGAUCACUGUCAAUGUAUUACCGCUCUAAUGGAGGUGUACAAGGAGACCAAUGUUGCUUUCAUGCCUGCUAACACAAUAUACAUUCUGCAGCCCAUGGAUCAAGGAGUAAUUUUCACUUUCAAGUCUGAUUAUUUAAGAAAUACAUUUUAUAAGGCUAUGGCUGCCAUAGAGAAUGAGCCCUCUGAUGAAUGUGGGCGAAGUAAAUUGAAAGCCUUAUUGAAAGGAUUUACCAUCCUAGAUGCCAUUAAGAACAUUCAUGAUUCAUAGGCAGAAGGGCAAAAUAGCAACAUUAACAGGAGCUUGGAAGAGGUUGAUUCCAAUUCUCAUGGAUGACUUUGAGGAGUUAAGACUUCAGUGGAGGAAGUGACUGUAGAUGUGGUGGAACUAGCAAGAGAACUAAAACUAGAAGUAGAGCCUGAAGAUAAAUGACUAAUUUGCUCAAAUCUCAUGACAAAACUUUAAUGGUUGAGAAAGAAAGUGGUUUCUUGAGAUGGAAUCUCCCCUGGUGAAGAUACUGUGAAAACUGUGGAAAUAACAACAAAUGAUUUAGAAUAUUACAUACACUUGGUUGAUAAAGCAGUGGCAGAGUUUGAGAGGAUUGACUCCCAUUUUGAAAGCAGUUCUACUGUAAAAGGUCAUUAAUUAGGAGAAGAUUUAUCUCAAGGAAACGUAUGAUCUGUGGGUAGUGUGGUCAAAGAUGACUUCUGCAGAUAAAAACAUCAUCUUGUAUGCAAGAGAUACGACCCUCUUUUAUAUAGUUGAACUGCAAAGACUACCUUACUGUUCACUCCCAGAAUGGCAAAAAGAUAGAUGAAGAUGGAGAAAUGUGCACCUAACACUGCAUCUUUAUGAGCAAAGGAUUUUCUUUGGAAAAACUGUGAUUAUAUGAAAAUCAUAGGACAUUUUAUUUGUGACUACAGGGCGUGGUGAAAACCUCUGCUACCAUACUGGAUACAAGGUCUUUAACUUCUCAGCACCAGUUUUAUGGAGCCCCCACCGCUAAGCAAGUAUGCAAAAUGCAGUGCUGCUUCGCAUUGGGAAAUCCCCAAUCUGGUGCCAAGAGGUUCAUAAAUACAGUAAUGGACCCUCUUAUGUCAAAAGUGAGUACUGUUUAACAGCGUAAGUUGGAACAGCCUUCAGGAUGCUUUGCAGCUGCAGUUGUUCCACUGCAAGACAUCACAAACUUCAUGAUGAUGGUUGUCACACCAGGUCCUGGAAAGGCAACCUACUUCAGUCUGCAAAGUGAACUAAAAGGGAAUGGUUGUUCAUACAUGGCCCUGAUGCCACUGACAUAAGAAACGCAAUGACAAGAGCGAUGAAGUAGGAAUUUGGUGGCAGAUGGUCAGGUCUGCAGGAAGUGUCCACCCAGCUUUGUUUGGCCCAUAUUCUGAAACAACUAGAAUAAACACUUAGUGUCAUAAUUUAUAAGCAUAUCAGUACCAAUAAAUCAGAAUCAUGCAAACAGUCAUGUUUAUUAUAUUCUUGUUGCUUAAUAUUCAUGACAGUAAUUUAUUUUUAUAGUACAGUUUUACUGUUCUCUCCACCAUUGCUCUCUGCAUUUAAGGCUGGCAAGUUGUACUAGCAGAAGUUCAGGUAACCCUUUGAAGACUGCAAAAUUCAUUAGCCUGGUCAAAAGACUUGAUUUGCUCAUUUAAUUUUUCCCUUUUUCUCUCAUAAACUUUUAAGCCACUGAGAUGAAAUUUCUGGAAACUAAGUAGUAAUAAUACUUCUUCGACAUGUAGAAAAUGUGAAUACU
rnacentral:lncRNA from 1 species